UACGUAGGGCGCAAGCGUUAUCCGGAAUUAUUGGGCGUAAAGAGCUCGUAGGCGGUUUGUCGCGUCUGCUGUGAAAGCCCGGGGCUCAACUCCGGUUCUGCAGUGGGUACGGGCAGACUAGAGUGCAGUAGGGGAGACUGGAAUUCCUGGUGUAGCGGUGAAAUGCGCAGAUAUCAGGAGGAACACCGAUGGCGAAGGCAGGUCUCUGGGACGGUACUGACGCUGAGACGCGAAAGCGUGGGGAGCGAACAGG
rnacentral:rRNA from 1 species